AACGCGAAGAACCUUACCCAGACUUGACAUGUAUUGGAAUAUAAUGGAAACAUUAUAGCCCUUCGGGGCCGGUACACAGGUGCUGCAUGGCUGUCGUCAGCUCGUGCCGUGAGGUGUUUGGUUAAGUCCAGCAACGAGCGCAACCCUUAUCAUUAGUUGCCAACAUUUAAGGUGGGAACUCUAAUGAGACUGCCUGGGUUAACCAGGAGGAAGGUGAGGAUGACGUCAAGUCCGCAUGGCCCUUAUGUCUGGGGCUACACACGUGCUACAAUGGACGGUACAGAAGGCAGCAGAGCCGCGAGGUGAAGCAAAUCCAACAAAGCCGUCCCCAGUUCAGAUUGUAGUCUGCAACUCGACUACAUGAAGACGGAAUUGCUAGUAAUGGCAGGUCAGCAGACUGCCGUGAAUACGUUCCCGGGUCUAGUACACACCG
rnacentral:rRNA from 1 species